CAGCCGCCACGGUAAUACAGAGGGUGCAAGCGUUAAUCGGAAUUACUGGGCGUAAAGCGCGCGUAGGUGGUUUGUUAAGUUGGAUGUGAAAGCCCCGGGCUCAACCUGGAACUGCAUCCAAAACUGGCAAGCUAGAGUACGGUAGAGGGUGGUGGAAUUUCCUGUGUAGCGGUGAAAUGCGUAGAUAUAGGAAGGAACACCAGUGGCGAAGGCGACCACCUGGACUGAUACUGACACUGAGGUGCGAAAGCGUGGGGAGCAAACAGGAUUAGAUACCCGCGUAGUCCCUGUCUCUUAUACA
rnacentral:rRNA from 1 species